rnacentral:rRNA from 1 species
UACGUAGGGGGCAAGCGUUAUCCGGAUUUACUGGGUGUAAAGGGAGCGUAGACGGCCGUACAAGUCUGAAGUGAAAGCCCGUGGCUCAACCGCGGAACUGCUUUGGAAACUGUAAGGCUGGAGUACUGGAGAGGCAGGCGGAAUUCCUAGUGUAGCGGUGAAAUGCGUAGAUAUUAGGAGGAACACCAGUGGCGAAGGCGGCCUGCUGGACAGAAACUGACGUUGAGGCUCGAAAGCGUGGGGAGCAAACAGG